UCGCAAAGUGAAGAUUCACGGGUAAAAAGCCCCAAACUGUGAGAUUGGUUAUUUUUCAGGGCUCAGCAGCCCUGGGCGAGUUCUUUAGAGAAAUGUGGCUCUUUUUCUUGGUGCACUUUUCUUUGUCCAGCUGCACAACGAGAUGAGGCUGGUCAUUGUCAUUUUCUGAUCUGUGAACGGGCAGGAAGCUGCACAACGAGAUGAGGCUGGUCUUUGUCAUUUUCUGAGCUGUGAACGGGCAGAAAGCUGCACAACGAGAUGAGGCUGGUCAUUGUCAUUUUCUGAUCUGUGAACGGGCAGGAAGCUGCACAACGAGAUGAGGCUGGUCAUUGUCAUCUUCUGAGCUGUGAACGGGCAGGAAGGUG